GGAGAGAUGGCCGAGUGGUUGAUAGCCCCGGUCUUGAAAACCGGUAUAGUUCGAAACAAAGAACUAUCGAG
rnacentral:tRNA from 141 species